rnacentral:rRNA from 1 species
GAUGAACGCUGGUGGCGUGCCUAAUACAUGCAAGUCGAGCGAACAGACGAGGAGCUUGCUCCUCUGACGUUAGCGGCGGACGGGUGAGUAGCACGUGGAUAACCUACCUAUAAGACUGGGAUAACUUCGGGAAACCGGAGCUAAUACCGGAUAAUAUAUUGAACCGCAUGGUUCAAUAGUGAAAGACGGUUUUGCUGUCACUUAUAGAUGGAUCCGCGCCGCAUUAGCUAGUUGGUAAGGUAACGGCUUACCAAGGCAACGAUGCGUAGCCGACCUGAGAGGGUGAUCGGCCACACUGGAACUGAGACACGGUCCAGACUCCUACGGGAGGCAGCAGUAGGGAAUCUUCCGCAAUGGGCGAAAGCCUGACGGAGCAACGCCGCGUGAGUGAUGAAGGUCUUCGGAUCGUAAAACUCUGUUAUUAGGGAAGAACAAAUGUGUAAGUAACUAUGCACGUCUUGACGGUACCUAAUCAGAAAGCCACGGCUAACUACGUG